rnacentral:misc_RNA from 1 species
GAUGAAGAACGCAGCGAAAUGCGAUAAGUAGUGUGAAUUGCAGAAUUCAGUGAAUCAUCGAAUCUUUGAACGCACAUUGCGCCCUUUGGUAUUCCUUAGGGCAUGCCUGUUCGAGCGUCAUUUAAACCUUCAAGCUAAGCUUGGUGUUGGGUGACUGUCCGCUUCACGGCGGACUCGCCUCAAAAUUAUUGGCGGCCGGUACAUUGCUUCGAGCGCAGCAGAAACGCGAACUCGGGCCCGUCGUAUUGGCUCCCAGAAGCUAUCUUCACAAUUUUGACCUCGGAUCAGGUAGGGAUACCCGCUGAACUUAAGCAUAUCAAUAAGCGGAGGA